rnacentral:tRNA from 1 species
GAGGCUUUAGUUUAAUGAAAGCACCUGACUUGCAAUCAGGAGAUGUGGGGUAGCACCUGCAAGCCUUA